rnacentral:rRNA from 1 species
CCUAGUGUGCGAGUUGUAAAUUGCAGGUUGGAGUCUCGGGUUAGACGUGUGUGCAAGUCCCUUGGAACAGGGUGCCACUGAGGGUGAGAGCCCCGUAUCGUGCAUGUCGACACCUGUGAGGCCCUUCUGACGAGUCGAGUUGUUUGGGAAUGCAGCUCUAAGUGGGUGGUAAAUUCCAUCUAAGGCUAAAUAUUGGCGAGAGACCGAUAGCGAACAAGUACUGUGAAGGAAAGAUGAAAAGCACUUUGAAAAGAGAGUGAAACAGCACGUGAAAUUGUUGAAAGGGAAGGGUAUUGGGCUCGACAUGGGAUUUACGCAUCGUUGCCUCUCGUGGGCGGCGCUCUGGGUUUUUCCUGGGCCAGCAUCGGUUUUCGUUGCAGGAUAAGGACAAUUGGAAUGUGGCUCCUCGGAGUGUUAUAGCCUUUUGUAGAUGCUGCGUAUGGGGACCGAGGGCUGCGGCGGACUCGUUUCGUCUCGGAU